GCGUUAAGUUGCAGGGUAUAGACCCGAAACCCGGUGAUCUAGCCAUGGGCAGGUUGAAGGUUGGGUAACACUAACUGGAGGACCGAACCGACUAAUGUUGAAAAAUUAGCGGAUGACCUGUGGCUGGGGGUGAAAGGCCAAUCAAACCGGGAGAUAGCUGGUUCUCCCCGAAAGCUAUUUAGGUAGCGCCUCGUGAAUUCAUCUCCGGGGGUAGAGCACUGUUUCGGCUAGGGGGCCAUCCCGGCUUACCAACCCGAUGCAAACUGCGAAUACCGGAGAAUGUUAUCACGGGAGACACACGGCGGGUGCUAACGUCCGUCGUGAAGAGGGAAACAACCCAGACCGCCAGCUAAGGUCCCAAAGUCAUGGUUAAGUGGGAAACGAUGUGGGAAGGCCCAGACAGCCAGGAUGUUGGCUUAGAAGCAGCCAUCAUUUAAAGAAAGCGUAAUAGCUCACUGGUCGAGUCGGCCUGCGCGGAAGAUGUAACGGGGCUAAACCAUGCACCGAAGCUGCGGCAGCGAACGUAUCACCCAAGACAACUUUACGGAGUUGACGAUUGACGGAGCGAAGCGACGUCAAAGCGUUCAUUAAAGUCGAGUUGGCUUAGGGAUACGUUCGUUGGGUAGGGGAGCGUUCUGUAAGCCUGUGAAGGUGUGUCGUGAGGCAUGCUGGAGGUAUCAGAAGUGCGAAUGCUGACAUAAGUAACGAUAAAGCGGGUGAAAAGCCCGCUCGCCGGAAGACCAAGGGUUCCUGUCCAACGUUAAUCGGGGCAGGGUGAGUCGACCCCUAAGGCGAGGCCGAAAGGCGUAGUCGAUGGGAAACGGGUUAAUAUUCCCGUACUUGGUGUUACUGCGAAGGGGGGACGGAGAAGGCUAUGUUGGCCGGGCGACGGUUGUCCCGGUUUAAGCGUGUAGGUGUGUGUUCCAGGUAAAUCCGGUUCACUUUAACACUGAGGCGUGAUGACGAGGCACUACGGUGCUGAAGCAACAAAUGCCCUGCUUCCAGGAAAAGCCUCUAAGCAUCAGGUAACAUCAAAUCGUACCCCAAACCGACACAGGUGGUCAGGUAGAGAAUACCAAGGCGCUUGAGAGAACUCGGGUGAAGGAACUAGGCAAAAUGGUGCCGUAACUUCGGGAGAAGGCACGCUGACACGUAGGUGAAGUGAUUUACUCAUGGAGCUGAAGUCAGUCGAAGAUACCAGCUGGCUGCAACUGUUUAUUAAAAACACAGCACUGUGCAAACACGAAAGUGGACGUAUACGGUGUGACGCCUGCCCGGUGCCGGAAGGUUAAUUGAUGGGGUCAGCGCAAGCGAAGCUCCUGAUCGAAGCCCCGGUAAACGGCGGCCGUAACUAUAACGGUCCUAAGGUAGCGAAAUUCCUUGUCGGGUAAGUUCCGACCUGCACGAAUGGCGUAAUGAUGGCCAGGCUGUCUCCACCCGAGACUCAGUGAAAUUGAACUCGCUGUGAAGAUGCAGUGUACCCGCGGCAAGACGGAAAGACCCCGUGAACCUUUACUAUAGCUUGACACUGAACAUUGAGCCUUGAUGUGUAGGAUAGGUGGGAGGCUUUGAAGUGUGGACGCCAGUCUGCAUGGAGCCGACCUUGAAAUACCACCCUUUAAUGUUUGAUGUUCUAACGUGGACCCGUAAUCCGGGUUGCGGACAGUGUCUGGUGGGUAGUUUGACUGGGGCGGUCUCCUCCUAAAGAGUAACGGAGGAGCACGAAGGUUGGCUAAUCCUGGUCGGACAUCAGGAGGUUAGUGCAAUGGCAUAAGCCAGCUUGACUGCGAGCGUGACGGCGCGAGCAGGUGCGAAAGCAGGUCAUAGUGAUCCGGUGGUUCUGAAUGGAAGGGCCAUCGCUCAACGGAUAAAAGGUACUCCGGGGAUAACAGGCUGAUACCGCCCAAGAGUUCAUAUCGACGGCGGUGUUUGGCACCUCGAUGUCGGCUCAUCACAUCCUGGGGCUGAAGUAGGUCCCAAGGGUAUGGCUGUUCGCCAUUUAAAGUGGUACGCGAGCUGGGUUUAGAACGUCGUGAGACAGUUCGGUCCCUAUCUGCCGUGGGCGCUGGAGAACUGAGGGGGGCUGCUCCUAGUACGAGAGGACCGGAGUGGACGCAUCACUGGUGUUCGGGUUGUCAUGCCAAUGGCACUGCCCGGUAGCUAAAUGCGGAAGAGAUAAGUGCUGAAAGCAUCUAAGCACGAAACUUGCCCCGAGAUGAGUUCU
rnacentral:rRNA from 1 species